AACGUAGGUGGCGAGCGUUAUCCGGAUUUACUGGGCGUAAAGGGUGUGCAGGUGGGGGAGCAAGUGGUGUGUGAAAGGGUGGGGCUUAACCCCACGAGGUCAUGCCAGACUGCUCUUCUGGAGGGCGAGAGAGGGUGGUGGAAUUCCGGGUGUAGUGGUGAAAUGCGUAGAGAUCCGGAGGAACCCCAGAGGCGAAGGCGGCCACCUGGCUCGACCCUGACACUCAGCCACGACAGCAUGGGGAGCGAACGGG
rnacentral:rRNA from 1 species